UGUGUGCGGGUGUUGUGUGUUUGUCAGGGUGCUGUUUGUAUGAGAGUGUGCUGUUUGUGGGUGGGUGCUGUGCGGGUGUUGUGUGUGGGUUUUGUGUGUUUGUGAGGAUGCUGUUAGUGUGCUGGGUGUGUGUGGGUGUUGUAUGUGUGUGGGUGCUGUGUGUGCGAGGGUGAUGUGUGUGUGUGUGGGUGCUGUUUGUGGGCUGUGUGUGCUGUAUGUUUGGGUGGAGGCUGGGGCAGACUAGUUAACAUCCCAGUCCUGCUGCCUUCCCUGGUGGUUCAGUGGAGAGUGAACUCUAGCCCGGGUUCUCUGCUGCCUCCCUCCAUGCUGCUGUGGACCGGUGAGGGAGAACUUUGAUCUCCCCAC